rnacentral:rRNA from 1 species
CCUACGGGAGGCAGCAGUGGGGAAUAUUGCACAAUGGGGGAAACCCUGAUGCAGCGACGCCGCGUGAGUGAAGAAGUAUUUCGGUAUGUAAAGCUCUAUCAGCAGGGAAGAAAAUGACGGUACCUGAUUAAGAAGCCCCGGCUAACUACGUGCCAGCAGCCACGGUAAUACGGAGGAUGCGAGCGUUAUCCGGAUUUGUUGGGUUUAAAGGUUUCGUAGGCGGAAUAUCAAGUCAGCGGUAAAAAUUCGGGGCUCAACCCCGUCGUGCCGUUGAAACUGAUGUUCUUGAGUGGGCGAGAAGUAUGCGGAAGGCGUGGUGUAGGGGUGAAAUGCAUAGAUAUCACGCAGAACUCCGAUUGCGAAGGCAGCAUACCGGCGCCUAACUGACGCUGAAGCACGAAAGCGUGGGUAUCGAACAGGAUUAGAUACCCUGGUAGUC